rnacentral:rRNA from 1 species
GAUGAACGCUGGCGGCGUGCCUAAUACAUGCAAGUCGAGCGAACGGACGAGAAGCUUGCUUCUCUGAUGUUAGCGGCGGACGGGUGAGUAACACGUGGAUAACCUACCUAUAAGACUGGGAUAACUUCGGGAAACCGGAACUAAUACCGGAUAAUAUUUUGAACCGCAUGGUUCAAAAGUGAAAGACGGUCUUGCUGUCACUUAUAGAUGGAUCGGCGCUGCAUUAGCUAGUUGGUAAGGUAACGGCUUACCAAGGCAACGAUGCAUAGCCGACCUGAGAGGGUGAUCGGCCACACUGGAACUGAGACACGGUCCAGACUCCUACGGGAGGCAGCAGUAGGGAAUCUUCCGCAAUGGGCGAAAGCCUGACGGAGCAACGCCGCGUGAGUGAUGAAGGUCUUCGGAUCGUAAAACUCUGUUAUUAGGGAAGAACAUAUGUGUAAGUAACUGUGCACAUCUUGACGGUACCUAAUCAGAAAGCCACGGCUAACUACGUG